rnacentral:rRNA from 1 species
GACAGAGGGGGCAAGCGUUGCUCGGAAUUACUGGGCGUAAAGGGCGCGUAGGCGGCCACCGCAAGUCGGUUGUGAAAUCUCCGGGCUUAACCCGGAAAGGUCAAUCGAUACUGCGGGGCUAGAGUGCAGAAGGGGCAACUGGGAUUCUCGGUGUAGCGGUGAAAUGCGUAGAUAUUCGGAAGAACACCAGUGGCGAAGGCGGCUCACUGGUCCGGUACUGACGCUGAGGUGCGAAAGCGUGGGGAGCAAACAGG